UGAUGCAACUAAACCAUUGUAACCACUCGAGAACAAUCAACACUGAAAAGGAUUUGCACAUCUAUAGUGGUGGAAGACCGCUAGACUUAAUAUAUUCAAGAAGAUUUAAUUUAGAUCUCUUUAAAUUUAAUUGUUUAUUUAUAUCUGAUAUAAAUCUAUAAUUAACAUGGAUCUACUAGAGAGAUGCUAACUUGGUUCACUA
rnacentral:lncRNA from 1 species